UACGGAAGGUCCGGGCGUUAUCCGGAUUUAUUGGGUUUAAAGGGAGCGCAGGCUGGAUAUUAAGCGUGACGUGAAAUGCCGCGGCUCAACCGUGGAAGUGCGUCGCGAACUGGUUUCCUUGAGCGCGUACGACGCUGGCGGAAUUCGUGGUGUAGCGGUGAAAUGCUUAGAUAUCACGAAGAACCCCGAUUGCGAAGGCAGCCAGCGAGGCCGCAACUGACGCUAAAGCUCGAAGGUGCGGGUAUCGAAC
rnacentral:rRNA from 1 species